CGAGGCUACCAGCACGCUCCACUCGUCGAGAGCUUCGCAACGACAUAAAUUUCGAAUUUUUCCGACACCGUUUUUCGGUGGGUCCCACGGAACUUCGCAGUGUUUUUCCGAGCAUUAAAUGAGCUUAGAAAAUUCUGAAAAAUUUAUGUACUAACCCCCGUGUUAUGGGCUUCGUGUAGGUAUCCUCGAUUCGCGGAAAUUCGACAGUUGACCGGGUCUGCGAAAUUCCGGCCAGACAGACCCGUUACCGGAAAAGUCUCCGAAUUGGACCGAGGUUUUGGCUAGCCCCCCAUUGUCAGACGUCCCGAGCGCGUUCCCGAAGUCGGAAUUGGCAAAGGUGAGCCGGGACAGCCUUCUUCCUCCGCCCAGCCGCCACAGUGAUUGUCGUCAAGUCUGAAAAUGCGUAGAAGCAGAAGAGCUGCCACUGCACCAGAACCAGAUGUGCCUGACGAGGUGUCGGCACAGGAUGAGGCGCCUGCCCCGAGGAGGCAGGGUAGGAGGCCUAGAGCUGC